rnacentral:rRNA from 1 species
AGUAAUACAUUAGUAACCUGCCCUAGACAGGGGGAUAACUAUUGGAAACGAUAGCUAAGACCGCAUAGGUACGGACACUGCAUGGUGACCGUAUUAAAAGUGCCUCAAAGCACUGGUAGAGGAUGGACUUAUGGCGCAUUAGCUGGUUGGCGGGGUAACGGCCCACCAAGGCGACGAUGCGUAGCCGACCUGAGAGGGUGACCGGCCACACUGGGACUGAGACACGGCCCAG